rnacentral:rRNA from 1 species
AAUCAACGCUGGCGGCGUGCCUAACACAUGCAAGUCGAGCGCGAAAGGGGAGCAAUCCCCUAGUAGAGCGGCGAACGGGUGAGUAACGCGUGGGUGAUCUACCUCCGAGUGGGGAAUAACCCCGGGAAACUGGGGCUAAUACCGCAUGACAUCCCUGAGUCACAUCGGGGAUCAAAGCCGGGGACCGCAAGGCCUGGCGUUUGGAGAUGAGCCCGCGUCCGAUUAGCUAGUGGCGGGGUAAUGGCCCACCAAGGCUUCGAUCGGUAGCCGGCCUGAGAGGGCGGACGGCCACACUGGGACUGAGACACGGCCCAGACUCCUACGGGAGGCAGCAGUGGGGAAUUUUUCGCG